GACGAAGGAUCCAAGCGUUAUCCGGAUUCAUUGGGUUUAAAGGGUGCGUAGGCGGGUUUGUAAGUCAGUGGUGAAAGCCGGUCGCUCAACGAUCGAAUUGCCAUUGAUACUGCGGACCUAGAAUAUAGAUGAUGUUGGCGGAAUAUGACAUGUAGCGGUGAAAUGCAUAGAUAUGUCAUAGAACACCUAUUGCGAAGGCAGCUGACAAAACUAUUAUUGACGCUGAUGCACGAAAGUGCGGGGAUCAAACAGGAUUAGAUACCCUGGUAGUCCGCACAGUAAACGAUGAUAACUAGAUGUUUGCGAUAUACAGUAAGCGUCCAAGCGAAAGCGAUAAGUUAUCCACCUGGGGAGUACGCCCGCAAGGGUG
rnacentral:rRNA from 1 species